GGGAAACCAGGGGGCAGAGAAACAGUCGGGCACGCGGAACACAGGAAGAGCACGGGCUGGAACUUCUGCAACAGAGGAGAGAGGCGUCACUGGACUGGGAAAUGAGUGAGAGAAGGCAGAGUGAGAGAGACAAUGCCAACUUUUACAGACAGGUCCACAGCGGGGACAGGUCUCUCCUGCACCAGGAUCAGCUCUGUGCCGAAGUCAAACCAGUCCAACAGAGAAACGGGAGCCGACAUUCCCACUGAUCCAUCUGCUUCAGCUGCAAGCUUCAGCAAAAUGGCCACUUCCACUGAGACUUCCUUCCCAUUUUCAUCCUGAUAUAUUACAACAAAGUGGAUGAUGAGGAACAGACGUUUCACAGGUGAACUCUGCACUCAGUCCAGGAAUGUAAAAACCGUUCAAGUGUUGCACACUUACCGUCACUUGGAUGGGGAUUCUGUCCUUGGGAACGUGUUUGAUGGCUACCUGAAAAACACAGAGCAUUGGUGAGCAUUUCCUCUGUAUGACAUCAUUAAAGGUGUAAAACAGCAGCUUUAAUGCUCAGCUGACGAUAUUAUCCGUUAUCUCCGUUACUGCCUGUCUUACUCCCACCAUCUGAACACUUACUGGGAAAUGAUCUGUUAUCCUGUAGCCAGCAAACACUGCUCCACAGCCGCCAUUUCCUAGAUGGUGCUCCUGCACAUAUCUGGCUUGGUAUUCCCCUGAAAAGACACAAAUGUUGUUUUACUACAGCUGUGACACAAAUUACUCUCUGCUGUACCCUAAAUGUUGCUCUUCACCUGAGUAUAAAAGCCAAGCUGCUUGCUACUUACGUUGCUGGUCGUCUGCUGAAUUUUGGACGACGUUUUUGGUUUUGUCCUUUUUCUUUUUCUUAGGUGACUCUUUGCUGUCUCCUGCAGACUUCCUUCUGCCAUUUUUUGUGCACCCCUUUGUGUUUUGACUGCAGUCUGCAGAUGUGGAAAACAUCAAAAGCACAUCAGCGUAUUAGAUCAUACACACAAAUAUCUCCCAAACACUAAUAUCUUAAACCGAGCAACCAGCUGUGCACUUAAUCUACCCCUCACUCAACUAAUUAGCCUACCUUUACCAGCAUCCACAGAGGAAGACGCUUGCUCCCUGUCUCCACUCGUAGGCUCAGCAAGUUUAAUCUUCUUUGGUGGACUGGUUGUGCCCGCUCCAUCUUGCUGGGCCUUACGCUUCACUGCUUUGACCUCAUGUGUAUCUGAGCUGGUGGAAGGAGCAGCCUGCUCAGUGACCCUCCUUCUUUUUACGGGGGUCUCCUUUUCAGGACUGGCCUUUCUUUUAGCCAUCCUGCUCUUAGAGUCUAUAAACAACAACAACACAGUAGUGAAAAAGAGUGCUCGACAUCAGGACUGGAAGGAUUUUGAUGCCAUUUUAGGGAGUAUUGGUUAAAUUAUAAUAACAAGUUUAUCCUUUUGAUAAAAAACAGAGCAACACGAGUCCAUACUGGGUGUACUAAGACUUAGAUUUUCAUGACACUUGUUGAUCUGUUUUUACUGCUGAGUCAAUAAUAAACUUGUCACAUUAUCUUACCAAAA